AAUGUUGUGUGGAGAGAGAAACGGUUCGUGUGUCGACAUUUUCUCCUUCACAGAUGCUGCCAGACCUGCUGAGCUUUUCCAGCAAUUUUGUUUUUGUUACUGAUUUACAGCAUUUGCCGUUUUUUUAAAAAAAAUUCAGUUAAUGUCUAGAGCCUGACCUAACUCUUGUUCAGGCUGGAAGAUGCUGGUUUUUGUGUUGUACACCGAGGGGAACAGAUGGUGAGAGUACCCAGAGCCAAAAAAUGUCCUUUUUGUUGAAUAUUUUACCCGGUUCCUACAGAUGUUUUGCGGUGUUCAUUUAUAACCAGACAUUUCACUCUGUUUCCCGUUUUUGUCUCAGUCAGUGCUCCUCUCAGACUCAACUCAUGGGCCUCUGCUUCUGUUUCCCCAUUUAUUGUUUGUACUUUACGGGGCUCACUUUAAAACUCACUCAUCCCUUUGAAUUCCAUCUGAUCACAAUUACCCGGAGGAUCUCUUGCCGUGACAUUUCUCAUUUACUCAGCUUCAUGAUACAAUGCUUGAUCUGAAACAGAGCUACUGAAUCAACAGAAUUCCCAACUCCUGUCUCAUCCAUCACAGCGUUGAAGAUGGGUAACCAGCCAGAAAGAUGACGGAAAGUGAGAUUUAACACCGUCAGGAAAUCCUGCAGAGGCUGAUUCAAUCAAAGAUAAACUUCGUUGCACAAAGAAGUAACAAGGUGUACAGCUGGAUGAGCACAGCAGGGCCAGCAGCAUCAGAGGAACAGGACGGCUGAC